UACUGACGCUAGCGACGUUUUCCUCGUCCCUGUGGCUGCUGUCUGUUCUGUCCUGAUCGUCGUCAUCGCUGUGGUUGUCAUAGUUGUUGUUUGUAGAAAACAGACACGUAAAGGGAGGGGAUACUUCCAUAACCGCGUGGUCACGUAUACCCGGGACACAGAAACAGACGGGAGCUACCAGGAAAUAGAUGAGGGAGGAAACAUUAAUAACCG